rnacentral:rRNA from 1 species
AGGGCACCACCAGGAGUGGAGCCUGCGGCUUAAUUUGACUCAACACGGGAAAACUCACCCGGCCCGGACACUGGAAGGAUUGACAGAUUGAGAGCUCUUUCUUGAUUCAGUGGGUGGUGGUGCAUGGCCGUUCUUAGUUGGUGGAGCGAUUUGUCUGGUUUAUUCCGAUAACGAACGAGACUCUAGCCUACUAAAUAGAUCGUUGGCUUACAAACGCCGAUGAGACUUCUUAGAGGGACAGGCGGCGAUUCAGCCGCACGAAACAGAGCAAUAACAGGUCUGUGAUGCCUUAGAUGUCCGGGGCCGCACGCGCGCUACACUGAAGUGAUCAGCGUGCAUUUUCAGCCUACUCUGGCCAAGAGUGGGGAAACCCAUGGAACCUUCCUUCGUGAUUGGGGAUAGGAGAUCGUAAUUAUUCUUCCUUGAACAGGGAAUUCCCAGUAAGCGCGAGUCUUAAGCUCGGGUUUAUUACGUCCCUGCCCUUUGGAAAACGGCCGUGCUUAUUCGAAUGAAGGUUAA